rnacentral:SRP_RNA from 1 species
GCUGGGCUCAGUGGCACAUGCCUGUAGUCACAGCUACUUGGAGGGCUGAGGUGGAGGAUCGCUUGAGCCCAGGAGUUCUGGCUGUAGUACUUUAUGCCAAUCAGGUGUCCCCACUAAGUUUGGCAUCAAUAUGGUGACCUCCCGGGACUGGGGGACCACCACGUUGCCUAAGGAGGGGUGAACCGGCCCAGGUCAGAAACAGAGCAGGUCAAAACUCCUUUGCUGAUCAACAGUGGGAUCGCACCUGUGAAUAGCCACUGCACUUCAGCCUGGGCAACAUAGCAAGACCCCGUCUCUU